rnacentral:tRNA from 1 species
GGGGCUGUAGCUCAGUGGACAGAGCGCGGCCGUCCUAAGGCCGGCGUCGGGAGUUCGAUUCUCCCCAGCCCCC